rnacentral:lncRNA from 1 species
AAUUAGUUAUCUUAACAAAAAAUACAAAAUAUAUUUUAGAUCAAUUGAUCGUUACAUAAUAUGGAUCUUCGAUUAGAAAAUUCUAUCAUCGAAAAAUGCAUAAAAGUAUUCAAAUACUUGCUACUAAUAAAUGUAUUCAGUAUUCUACCUUAAAUUUUAAAAUUAAAAUUUAAUAUAAUAAAAUAAUUCACAUAUAAUUCUAAAUUUAAAGUAACAAACAGUCUCUAGCACAAAUGAUAAAAAGUGCGAUUGUAGAUACUUAAUAUUUUAAGUUCGAAACUUAAUUACUUCACAUUUUCAGCUAAGUUCAUAUUUUUUUUAAAAAAAUAAACGAAGUGGAUCGCACGCUAUCAUUCUCUCAAAACAAAAAAAAAACCCAUUUAAUUUAUAUGUUUUUCUUAUAAAACUUUCUAAAUAUCACUUAACAUAUCAAGCAAACUAGUUAAUUAUAAAACCUCAAUGACAAAAUUGUUUAUAAUAAGAGUGCACAGUGCACCUGGUGCAUGAAUAGAUGUUACAAUUGCUGGCAAAACGGACCCACACGUUGAACCGCUUAAAGUGACACCUACGGUGGGAGCGUGGGACAACACUUAAGCGGGACCCACAAAUAAAAGUGUGAAGCUAUGUUUUGUGCCAGGGAUAUUCCGGAAAAACACGGGAUAUUUCCUAAUUGUAACUAAACAAUAGUGCUGCAUUGGGUUGGAGAACUAAAUUUUGGAGAACAAUUUUUGUUAUUUUCGAGAACAAGAAAUAUUUCGGUACAAGAUAGAACAAUUGUAAAUUUGUGUUUGGAUGCAUUCGAGGAUAUUCUAGAGGAUAUCCUUAAUAGCGUUUAGAUAAAAAGUCUAGAACAACGUCUAAAUAUAUUUUUAAAAAUAAAAUAAUUAAUUUAUAUUAGUAUAUUUUAUAUCAAAUUAUUUAUAAAAUUAUUUUAUAUAGUAAUUUAUAAUAUAAUAUUUUAUGUAAGAAUCUAAUUUAAAAUAAUAUAUAUUAUUUUAUUAUAUAUAAUAAUUUAUUUUAUGUAAUAAUUUAUUUUCUAUAAUUUAUUCAUAAUAUAUUAAUGAAUAAAGUAUAAUA